rnacentral:lncRNA from 10 species
AGGGGGUAGGUAAUUUAAUCACGGGGGCCAGUCUUUCCUGUGCUAUUCUCGUGUUGGUGAAUAAGUUUCACAACAUCGGGGGCUUAUCAGGGCUUUCCGCUUUUGCUUCUUCCUCAUUUUUUCUCUUGCUGCCACCAUGUGAGAAGUGCAUUUCACCUCCUGCCGUGAAUGUGAGGCCUCCUCAGCCAUGUGGAACUGUAAGUCCAGUGAAACCUCUUUUUCUUCUCAGUCUCGGGUCUUUAUCAGCAGCGUGAAAGCGGACUAAUACACUGGUCAUCCUGAUAAGGUUUUAGGGAGCCCGAUCUUUUCAUAAUGUAAAGCAGAAGACACCUUCUAAUGAGAGGCUGAGUAGGAUAACACUAGUGGGAGUUUGGAGAUCUUAUGUUAAGGAUUCCCCUGACCUCUACAACAAGUUUGGUUGUCUCAUAUUCUCUCCAGUUCCUUAGGCCAGCUCAAGUUUUAUCAGUAUCUUUUGGACCCAAUGAGUCCUUCCUGGCCUCACUCCAGAAGAAGACUGGCCUCAGUCCAGAGAAACAAAAAAUGUGAAAUUCACCCACUGGAACUCUCCUUCUCCAAGUAUCAGUCUCCUUCCAGAAUUUCCGGCUUCUGGUCUCUUUUCAAGGAAUUUAGAAGCUUCUGGGAGCCUUCUGCAUUCCGUGGUUUGGGUCCCUUUCCUCCAUCUUCAAAACCAGUCUAACAGCAUUUUCAUAUCUCUAUGAUACUAAUUUCCUCUUUUUUGAGGCAUAAACAUAUUUUCAUUGAAAAUCGUGAAGAAUUGAGAAGGAAAGGAGUCUGAAAUUUUAAAUGGAGACUUCUCUCUUGCUGGCUUAGGUAAAGCAAGCCCCACAUGGCAAAGAACUGAGGGACAGACAAUAAGAAACAAGCUCUCAGCCCAACAAGCCACAAGGAAGUGAAUUUUGCCAACAACCAAGUGAGCUUGGAAGCAGAUCCUUCCAUAAUCAAGCUUUGAGACAAAACUGCAACCUGGAUUGACCCCUUGACUGCAACUUUGAAGAGAACAACUAAAUUGUGUCCUUACUGCUGAUCCACAGGAUUCUGUGUUGCUUUAAACUACUGUUUGUGGUAACAUUGUAACACAAAUAUACAUAACCAAUACCAUUUACAUGGUGCUUACUAUAUGUCAGGCACUAUUCCAAGAGUUUACUCUUUUAAUCUACGUAACUCAAGGAUAUAAUUCAUCUCAUUUUAUAAAUAAAGAAGAGAACACAGAGCUUAAAUAACUUGUCAAAGUUCACAGAGCAAGCAUCUCCAAUCAAAAUAUAUAAUAAUAUGCUUCUCUGUAAAAAUAAUAUUUUGUUAAUGAAAUGGAGUUUAAUAGGCCUGUAUGCUACCCACAUCUGAAUUCCACUGAAGUAUUUUCUCACAAAUAUUUUAUACCUCACAAAAUAUUUUAUACACAAAUAUUUUAUAUCUCACAAAAAUUUUUAUACCUCCUGGCAAACUCAAUCAAACCAAGAAAUAGGAUGCCUUAAUUGGUUAGACAAGGGAGAGUUGAAAUUCGUUUCAGCUUGUCUGCAAUCUGUUUGUAACACAGAGAAGAAAUUUUUGCCAGAAGACAAUUUAACGAGGGUGAUGUAAAUAUUUUAGCCAAUAUCAUGUAACCAUCUUCUUCCCAUAUUAACUAUCUUGUUCCAUAAUUUCCAUCCCCCACUUAAACAAUCCUGAUAUUGCCUAAUGUUAAAAUAUGUUUAAAAGAAAAGUUUUAACUUAGGCUAAAAUAUCAUUUUCAUAAAUAGAGCUAAGGAAAUGACAAUUGAUUAGAAAAUAAAUGUCAUGUUGCCACAUUACUGAACUACAUUAUACUAUAGGAUAUCCCAAGUACUGUAAUGUGGAGUAGUGUUAGAUUUUGGAUAACAGAUGGGAGACCAGUUUUGAUGCAAAGAUUUUAGUUGAUUUCCUGAGUUAAAUCAGAUGUUCAUCCCUAUAAAUUAAGUAGCAAUCUUAUCCCUAUUCUAGCAUUAUAAAUGCCUCUAUUAUAUCAUGUAAUAAAUGUUGACCAUAGUUAAAAUACAGAAGUGUGACAUAUUUCUUUGAUAUAACCCCAUAAACAUCCCCUACCCGUCUGUCCUUCCUUAGCAUUCAGAGUACUCUAGCCACAUGGAACUACCAUACCAAAACAUUUGUUUUAUGAGUGAAUAGCUUAAUUGCUGAUAUCCUUAUAGAAAACACAUACCUAUGUAUGUGUAAUAAUUUCAUACCAUUGUUCAGUUUAUUGAAUGUUGAAGAUAUUAAACAGGACACUUGUGUAAUGUAACUGCUCUUGGAUUAGUCACAAUAGAAAGGUAUUUGCUUAGGUUGUCAGCUGUGACAAACUGAAUCACUAAAUUACCUCAAUUUUAAAAUUAAUAAAAGAUAUUUAAGAUAUAUCAAUUUUUUCUUCUGGUCUGAUAAUAAAAGCAUGGAAAAUUCAGGAAAAUGGAAAAAUCCUAUGGCUUAUCAGGAAAGAUGAUGUUUUGUAUCAAUAUGUCUACCCUGAGAGCUUUGUCCAUCUUCUUUUGUUACUUUUAGCUAAUCCUUUAGAGGGGCAAAGAGAACAGAGAAAGAAAAUGAAAACAAAAAGAUGGCACGUAUCAAUCAUUUAUCCAGAUAAACCUAUUUCCAUAUAUUGGGUGUUCUAUGUAUUUAAGGAUAUAUGUUAAUAAUUAACUCAAAAGUUAUGAGUAAAUUUCAUUUAGCUCAAAACGUUUCCAUACACAAUCUGUUAUGUCAGAAAAUAUUAACCAAGGUUCCCACCUUACCGAUAGAAAAAAAUAACCAACUCCCAGUUGCAUCAAAUCUACAGUUUUGGUGAACGUUAGUUUCAUGACCAUUAAAAAACAGAGAUUAACAGAUGCUUUCAGAUCCAAAAUAAGGCAGUCUUUUAUAUACAAAAGCCUUGGCACAUGUCUGCAAAUGCUACUGAGAAAGGUAGCAUUGCAAACUGUUCAGUCUCAUAGUUGAUUCAAAAACACUGCUCCCUUCUUUUUCUUCUCUAACAUGCCAGUCUAGAAAUUCAGCUCCUGUGCCAUAGGGAUGAUUGGUAUUAGAGUCUUCCUUCUUGCAUGCAUCCCCUACAGUGCUGCAAUGAGGAUGGUAGAAAUGGGAAACACGUCCCCUCUUACUUGAGUGCCUGUAGCACAUUUGUUAAACUGUUUGUUGUCACUUCUCUGUAAAAUAUUAACUGGAAGUUGGUUCCCUUUUUGCAGCAGCCAAUGAAAUAUUCAUUCUCUUGAGAUUAUUUGUUGGUUUUUCAAGAACCUUCCUCUCCUUGCACAAUUUCCCAGUGCUAGAGACUUGGCUUAGGAUUAAAUUUCUUUUUAAAGCAUCUCAAAUCACCAUACUGUCUUUUGUCCUCUGGUAUGGGUUGUCCAGGGAGUAAGUUUACUUUUGUUCUGUAAUAAACUACCCGCAAACUUAGUGGCCCCAUCACAUUAUUAUCACUUACAAUUAUUACUAGGUGCUUCUUCUGGUAUGGACCACCUAGUCUGAUCUGUUUGGCUAGCUCAGGCAUCUGUAGUAAACUAAUGAGUCACCUAACCAAUUGGAUAUUAUAGGAUAGCCUUGCCUAUGAGUUUGGAGAUUGAACAACUGAGGCAACAGGCAUCUUAUCUACGUGUUUUUUCGUUCUUCAUUUUCUAGAAAGUUAGCAGGCUGAUUUACAUGGUCACCCAAGCUUUCCAAAUGUAGCCAGAGAGGGCAAGUUUCAAUGUAUGAAAACUUUUCUAGAUGAGAAUGCUUCUUUUGGGAAGAUUCUAUGUAUACCCCUCUCAUUGCUUUCCACAAUAUUCCCAGCUGAGGAGAGACAUGUUGAACAAUUCAAAUGAACUAAUAACACUCAAUUUCUUAAAAUCUAGUGGAUGCUGAUGUGUUCACUAUUUAUCUUUAAAUAAAUCAUUCAAUUUAUAUUAUUUUAACUUAACUAUAUCUGUAUCUAUAUACACAUAUAUUCUUUUAUAUGGUAUAUUUUAAUAUAAUAUUUUUAAGGAUUUGGUAAUAGAAAAAAUAAACAAAACUAUAAAUUUGAAUAGACCUACCAACUUGGCCCCUAGCAUUUGCUGGCAUUUGCAAUAUAAAAAUUCAUCACUUAUUCUUUCUAAAAUUAGAAUAAUUAGAAAAUAAGAGUGGAUACUUAGAAAUUAGAAUCUUUUACAGGCAAUACCUAACUAAAAAUAAAGCUGAUAAAAUUUACCUUCCCAUCUUCCAAUGUUGUUUCUGGCUACAAUGGGACUAAAUAAGACAUAGACAAAAGGGAGGUAUCUAAAAAAUUCUUCUAUAUUUAAAAUUAAAUAGCACACUUAUGUAUCACACAUGGGUCCACAAAGAAACCACAAAAGGUAUUAUCAAAAGUUUUAGUUGAAUCUAUAUUAUGUCCUUACUAUGAAUACUAAUCUGUGUGUGUGUGUGUGUGUGUGUGUGUGUGUGUGUGUGUGUACUUGAAAAUAAUUUGUUUGAUUCAGGGCUUGCAUUUUUGCUCUUUAUUUUUCUUAAUUAUAUUAUACUUCUAUUUCCCAGUCAUCUCAUUUAUGAGUUAUGCUUUUCUGUAUUCAUUAACAGAUUUCCUUUUAUCCCACUUGCAUUUUUCUUUCCCAGCCCACUUUAUGUUGGAAACCUCCUCCUUCCAUGGCCUUCCUGAUAGCAGAUGAUAGAAAAGUAAAUGUUUUAGUUAACCAUAACAAAAAUUAUGUUAUCCUUAACCAUGCUCUACCUCUCACAUUUUACACUUAAUCUAUAUAGAAAUCCAACUGACCUUAUCACCAAAAUGUUUUCGUAAUCUGAAACCCAUGUCUACACCGCCAUCAUCUUGGUCUGUUUCAUCAUGAUAUCACACUCAGACUAAUGCCAUAGCCAUCCCACCACCACGUUUUCAUUGCUUUAAUUUUUGCCCAACCUGCUUUAGUGUAUUUUCUACAUAAUAGCCUGGGAGACAAUUUAAAAUGUAGUUCUGAUGUCACUAUUUUACUAUAAAACUUGUAGUGGCUUCACUUAGCCCUUCCUUUACCUGAAUGUUCUCUCCAAAAAGUCCCUCAACUUCUUGUUGUUGCUCAAAUUACAUGUUUUCAAUGAAGCCCACUCUAACUACCGCCCUUGCCCCAUGUAUCCACUACUUUAAGUCUUGCUUACUCUAGUUCUACAUUUUUUCAUAACAUUCAUCAUUUGUAGCAAAGUGACCUACAAAUAUGUAUUCACCUGUUUAGUAUUUAAUAUCUGCAUAUUCUAUUUCACUGGGGCAAGAAAAGUAUUGUUUUUUCACUGGUAUAAGAACCUACAACAUUGCCUCAGAUAUGAUAACCCUUCUAUAAAUAUUUAUAAAAUGAAUAAAGCAUUCAUUUUAAAAAUUGGGUCUCAUAAUUCACGGUUAAAGCAUUUUGACUACAGAUUUAAUUCUUUAAACUGUGAUGGAUACAUUCAUUUAACAAUGUCUUCAUGAGCCAGUUUGGAUUUUUAAGACAUUUGUCUAUUUCAUUUAGAUUGCAAAUUAUUGGCAUGAAAAUUUCCAUAAUUUUAUUGUCUACAAUAUUUAUAAAAUUCAUAUUUCCAUCUUUUUUCUAUGAUCAGUUUCAUCAGAUAUUACUUUCUGCUUUCUCUCUAUAACAAAUGAUGAACAAAUUUCUAUCUUAUUAGUUCCUUCUUACUACUAUGUGUUUAUUUUACGUCAUUUUUCUGUGUUUUAAAAAUGGGUGGCUAGCUCAUUAAUUUUCUAUCUUUUGCCAUCCCAACAGCUACAUUUAGAGCUCUGAUUUCGCCUUCAAGAUACUGUUUUAAAUGCAUUCCAUAACGUUUAUAUUAUAUUGUAAUAAUUAAGUUCCAAAUAUUUUCUUUAGCAUGUGAUUUUUUUCUUUGACCUAAGGGUUAUGUAGAAAUGUGCUUCUUCAUUUCCAAAGACAGAAGAAAAUUUUACUUAUCUUAUAGUUAUUAUUAUUUUUGCUGAAUUUCACUGUGGGUGGAGAAAAAUUUCCAUAUGACAUCAGUGUUUGAAAUUUGUUAAGACUUGCUCUAUGGGUCAAUAUAUAAUCAAUCUUCAUAAACACUCUAUGUUGGCUUAAAAAAAUGUACAUACCAAAAUUGAUAUGUACAAUACCAAUUGGUAUGUACAAAAUUGGUAUGUACAAUACCAAUACCAAGGGUACAGCAUUCUAUAUGUAUGUAUUAGGUGGUUUCUUAAUUAUAUUCUUCAAUACUUCUAUCUCCUCAAAGCAUUUGCCUUCUUUUUCAUAAGCUCCUAUGAUAUGUUCAACAUCUUCUACUAUGAUUGUUGACUGAUGUAUUCUUUGUGUAUUUAUAUGAUUUUUUCUUUUUUUUAUAAUUUAGAAAUUGAUUUCUGAUGAACUGAAACUCUUAUAUGAUAUUCAUCUAUAUCUCUAAAAAGCCUUUAUGUAAAAAUUAUAUCUGUAGUGACAUAGCUACAUCAGCUCUUUUUGUCUAGUUUGCAUAUUGUACCUCUUCUUUUUCAUUCCUAUAUCUUUGUUUUAGAUUAGAUCUAUUUCUCAUGAAUCAGUGACAAUAAUGUGUGCAUUUAUUUUCUAACAGUUCAAUCUAUACUGUUGUUUUAUUCAUCUUUGUGCAAAAGCCACACUCUUCUAUUUAUUGUGGUUUUACAAUAAGUCUUCAUAUUUAUCAGUUUCAUGUCCUUUAAUUGUGUUCUUUUUCUUUAAGAUUGCCUUGGCAGAGUUUCUCUUCUGCUUGAAACGUAGAAAGUGGGAAAGGAAUCUUACACCCAUUUUAACAAAUGAGUAAAAUUUGGAUAAUCUAAAAAGCCACAGUUUUUAUUGAAUCCAUCAAAGAGCUAAAGACAAAAGGCAGUGAAGAGAACUGAAUUCCAACUAAUGGCAUAAUCUUCUGAGAUGUAAGGCACGUGAGCCAUUUUACCAUUGGCAGAUCACAGAAGGAAGAGGUAGCUGUUGUAGAAGCAGAUAAGAAAAAAUUAACUCUAAUUUUAAUAAUUUUUUAAAGCUGCAUUUGGACACAGCAUCAGUUUAGAUUACCUGGGAUUUCAAGAUACAAAGACGAUCUGUGGACACAUACACUUUUCUCCAAAGACCUCCACUGAUUAUUUACAAGAAAGAUCGGCUCAGGGGAAAAGACCAGAGAGCUCACCUCUGUAGCAGAGGAAAGCCACGGAAAUAAUUUUCUAUUGACUGGAAACACACAAAACACAGCACACUUCUCUGAGCUCUUUGACUAUAUGAAGCAAAAGCCUUAACCCACUGGAAAAGAAAGGCAAACCUUCCAGCUCCUGGGCUACUUCACCCAGGUAAGAGGUAGGAAAUUAUAUUACCAGUCACCAGAUCCAGGCAAAGAUCCAAUGCUACCGUGGAAUGGUAGACAUAGAAGUCUUCUGUCCUUUGCGAGUGGGACUGAAAUAUCUCUUCUUCUAGGAUCUUGUACCAGUAUAAACAAGUUUGCUAGAGGUGUGGAGAGAGGAAGGUAACUUACUCUUGCCAAGCCUGUCACAGAUUGAAAGCAGAAAAUAGCUGCCAUGCAGUGCCAAGUGUCAGGAAUGACAAAAGAGCCUUCACAAUCCCCAAGUGCAUAAAACCUUCCUAAGAUUGUGGCUUGACGAUAACUGAGAACACUGUAAUAGAGAAGAUUCAUGAUUAUACUGAUAUAUAGAGAAAGAACAUUUGUCAACAUAUAACACUAUCUCAAGCUAAAAACAUCUCAACUAAGUGUAAUAGGAGGAUUCUAUCUUCUUCAAUCUAAUAUAGGACAUCUACUUAGAAAAAAAAUAAAUAACUAAAGCAAAAAUGUCAAAUGAUUCUCCAGGCCCCAACUCCAACAAAACAAAUCACGAAACAAAGAUAUCCUCUCCAGUGAUAUUUAUCCAGUAUUUAAAUUGGAGAACUUAACCAAUUUAUAUAUUUUUAUAUUUAUAACAUAAAUUUUAAAUUUAUAUUUAUAAGGCAAGAAAAGAUAAAUUAAAAAAAGAUUGAAAUGAAAGAAACAAAACCGUCUUUAUUCAUAGAUGAAAUGUUGAGAUUCCGAAGAACCUACAAUGUAGAAAUUAGAAAAAAUAGGUGAUUUUACUAGUAUCACAGGAUACAAGAGCAAAAUACAAAAAUAAAUUGACUCAAAAAUGUGUAAGGAAAAGCAAAUACAGGCAAACCUGAAAAAUAAAUAAAAUCAAAUUUGAGGAACAUUGCACUACCUGGUUCCAAGAUUUAUUCUAAAACCAGGAUAAUCAUGACAAUGUAGUAUUGAAAUAAACAUAGAUAUAUAAUCAAUGGAACAAAAUGUAGCAUCCAGAGGUGGACUCUCAUAUACAUGAUGUCAAGAUAAUAGGAUGAAGAAACAUAGUAAUUACAAAAAAUGAUUCUGGAACACUUCAAAAUUCAGCGCAAGCAAACAAACCUCAGCCAUUCCCAUACUGUGUGUGUAUAUAUAUAUAUAUAUAUAUAUAUAUAUGUAUGCAAAAAUCCAAUCAAAUUAGCUCGAAGGCCUAAAUGUAAAUAAAAACUAUAAAACUCCUAGGAAAAAUUAUAUUAGAAAAUUUUUGUAGCUUUUUUGGGGUUAGACAAAAAUAUCUUAGGUUGGAAAUCAAGAUCACAAAUGAAUUUUUAAAGUAUGAAUUAGACUUCAUUAAAAUGAAAAAUGUUUUUUUAAUUAAUAACAUUUUUACCAAAAUGAAAAGUUAAUCCAAUACUUGGAGAAAAUAUAUGGAGUACAUCUGAUAAAGGACAGACUAUCCAAACUGUAUGCCAAACUCUUACACUCAGUAAUAAAAACAGCCUAAUAAAUAAUGAGCAAAAACUUGAACACUUAACCAAAGAAGACAUUUUAAUGGCAAACAUGCACUCAAAAAGAUGCCCAAUGUCGUUAGUCAAUAUGUAAAUGCAAAUUAAACCUGAAGUAAAUACCACUACUACACAUCUACUAGAAUGGGAGGGGGAAGACGUCCUUAAUAAGUGUGGGACAAGGCAGAGAACAAGUGGAAUUCUCAUGCAUUGCCAACUGUAGGAUGCGAAAUGCCUUUUUAGAUGUUAGCUCCUAGUAGUAGGUUGUCAGACUUGUUGUUCACAUUUCUCCCAGAAAUAGAGGACUAGAAACCCUUCAAUUCUGAUGUUACAUAUAUUUUAUGACUUGUUUACAUAUUCAUUAUACAGAUUAUUAAAAAUAAUGAGAUUUAGAUUGGUAAUAAAUCAUUUGUAAUCUAUUGGAAAUGUAUUCUUCUUAUAUAUCUAUAUGUAACACAUAAUACUUGUUAUCUAUUAAAAUACAUUUAUUGGAAAUGGGUAUUUUGUUAUCUAUUUUAAUUAUCACAGUAUAGAUUUAUAAAACUACUCUAAUAUUUAAUAGUUAUGAGACUUAUAACUAUAGCUAGAACAAUAUUUUAAAACGUGUUUAUAUUUUCACAAAAUGUUUUCUUUUAAAAAUAAAUGUAUAAUAUAGUCUAGAGAAAGAUCAUCAUUUGACUACUUAUUGUGGAAACCAAACUGGAUUGAGUUCUCUAAAGGCAAAUAUUUUUGCAUGCAUUCAAAUUUAUGCUUUGCAAAAUGUGUUCUAAAUAUUUUAUUACAUAAAUUGAACUUCAUGUGAGAAUGAUGAAGAGAGAUAUACUUGCUCUAUUGUGUGAACCAAAUUUGUGAAUACUAUACCAAUAGGUUCAUCAGAGGGUUUUCUGCAACCAUACUCACCCUCUGAGAAUAUUCAUAAAUAUAGUUUCCUUCAUCUUAUUUUCUGCAAUUGCUUAGUAUUCCAGUACUAUUUUAGGGUUCAAUAAAAAUUGAUGGUUCCAAUUCCUCCACACUUUCAUCUAGUUUUACGUGAAUACUCAUAGAUUAUUUCUCCUGGAUAGUGAAUGAAAGAUCUAUAAAGAAUAGAGUGAAGUCUAUUAUGCACUUAUUGAAUUUACAUGCCCUCUUACAAAAAUAAGAUUGUACCCAUUAAUAUUGCAACUUCCUGGCUAUCUCAUCCCAUGUUUUUUUUUUUUUUUCCUUUUGGUUUUUCUUUCUGGAAGCCCUAAAGUAUUUUAAGAUUGGCAGACAUUAUAUUAAUUUCUAGGCACUUUGAUAAAAUCAACAGAAAUGUUAGCCUAGACAUGACAAAACAGUUCAUGUCAUUCAGUAAUGAAAGAAAAUCUAUAUAAGCAUGGGAACACUUUAUGUUUGAAAUGACUGUAAAUUUUGAAACUUGCUGUUUGAUUCUACAAGCAAUUUGUUAGCUAUGAGCUUGACAUAGUUACAAAACAUUUGUCCAUGAUGUUUGCAAGAACAAGAUGUCCUGCUUCAGCUCUCACAACUGUGAAGCCAAGAUGAUUGUCUCUGUGAAAUUGUUACCAGUUUUGUCUGACUACAUCAUCAAGCACUGUAGACUCCUCUUGGUGCUUUUGAUAAUUACACUUUGAUUAUCAUCAAUGACUUCAAUAAGACAUCAAGUAGGUGGGUGGGAAUGCCGUCAAAGUGAUCAAUUAAAAUUACCAAGACUUUAUUUUAAAAUCACUUCAGAUAUGUUCCUAAGAUACGGUAUGGAUGGUGGUUAAUAAAUGAAUAAAGGAGUUAAAAUUUACAUACAGAUGACAUUUUAGACUACAGCAUAAAAUAAGUCAGUGGAAGAGAGAAAAAUACAGAUCAUUCCCUUUAAGACAUUUCCAUUUUUACGAGCUGUGGCAAAUAAUUUCCAGGCGAAGCAUGAAGUCCUUCAAAUUUCACAAGAAAUGUUAAUAUAUACUCAGAACUGGGCAUCACUAUGAAAGAAUGUAAAUCAUUGUCAAUAAGCAGGGCAUGUCCUACUAAGAUUAUGUUGCUACUGCAUAGUCACAUAUGACUCAUACAAUCAUAGUACUCUAGAAAUCUUGAAUGCCCUACAUUCAAGCCUGUGUGACUACAAUCCCCCAUGAUUUUGUGCCUUUUUUUCUUACAGUAUAGCAUCAAAAAUGAGAAGUCAGCUUCACUGAGGACCCCAGACAUACGUAUUCUUUGUUUUGUAGAAAUAUAUAAACCAGUAGUAGUUGUAGUCAUCUGACACAAACAUCAUUUUCUGCUAUAUUGCAUUCCAAUCUUUUUUUUUUCAAUCGGAUGGCUAAGUCAGUGCCAACACCUAAUAAUAUUUAACAUUUUAUUCAAAAAUCUUCAUUGAAUCCUGGAUUCUAGCAUUUGCUCUAAUUGUUGAUUGACCAUUUAUGCAGCCAACAUUAAUUUAACUUUAAGCUUAACUGAUUACUAGUAGAAAAGUGAUUUUGUGGCAUAUCAUGCAAACACAAUCUUAUUCAAAAAGAUUUUUCUACUUCCAUAUUGACAUGCAUUUGGUGAAAUAGUUUUUAAAAACCUAAUGGUUUUGAUUGGAUAUAUUGAUAUUAUGGUUAAUAACAUUUUUUCUCACUCAAUUUUCUAUAAGCUUGAACAGUUCUUUACAAU